rnacentral:snRNA from 1 species
GAUGUGAGGGUGAUCUGGCUGCGACAACUGUCACCUCAUUGAUCACCAGAGUUGAUUUGGCUGAUCUGGCUGGCUAGGCGGGUGUCCCCUUCCUCCCUCACUGUGUCUCUCCUGAAGCUGCGCACUCGGGCAAAGAGGACUGCCUUCCCCGACAGAGACAUACUGUUUAUCGGUCAAGGGUAUACGGUAGCUGCGGUCCCCUGCUAGAACCUCCAAACAAGUUCUUUUUUUCAUAGCUUAUUUUUGCUAUUCUCCUUUUCCUUUGACGACUUCAAAAUACACUCCUCGCUAUUUGGAAUUAAGUCAAGAGCA